rnacentral:ncRNA from 1 species
CAUAGGGAAUUGCAAUUAUUUCCCUUGAUCGAGGAAUUCCCAGUAAGCGCGAGUCAUUAGCUCGCGUUGAUUACGUCCCUGCCCUUUGUACACACCGCCCGUCGCUACUACCGAUUGAAUGGUUUAGUGAGGUCCUCCGAUUGGACCCGGUCCGGGCGGCGACGUCCGAGCCGGCGUCCGAGAAGACGAUCUAACUUGAUCAUUUAGAGGAAGUAAAAGUCGUAACAAGGUUUCCGUAGGUGAACCUGCGGAAGGAUCAUUA